CACAGAUGGUCAUUACUUUCAUCAUCAUCAUCAUCAUCAUCAUCAUCAUCAUCACCAUCAUGAUUCCUCUGACAAAAGCUCCUUCCUUUACAACCCAAAUAAGAAGCUGGGAAUAAAUCCCGGUGUCAUAUCACAAGAUAUAAUACUGCCUGCACUACACUAAACAGCCACUCUCAGGUUUCAUCAGAAGAUCCUCCGGAGAAUGACUGCCUUCCAAAUGUUUGGGCACCUGUGACCUUGGACUCUUUGGGACAACAAGCCCUGGAUUCAUUAAUACUUUAUUGGACGCUAAUCAAACAAUUUCAAAUGCUAAAAAUAUUUGAAAGGACACAAGACUAAGAACACAAAAAAAUGUUUGUGAAUUACGGUGGAGAUUACAUUACACAGUCGUUUUGACUUUGGGAAAGAGCCAGAAGUCACCUGGCACCAGAUCCAGUGAACAAGGUAUAACACACCAUACAGUUCCUAGGAACCUGCUUCCCUUCGUAUGCAACUCAGCAGCAGCAGUCACAAUAUUUUUGAUUACACGUUGCAAAGACACUCACCGAUACGACUUCUGGAAAUGCUUCAGAAAGUGGCAAGAACAAUGGGACAGUUUUGUUUGAAGUGAGAGGGAGUAUUGUGACUGGGAUUUACGGCAAUGCGUCUCUUGCCAUAAUAAAAUUUUUAAAAAUUGAAA